CUCUGCAGCGGCUCUUCGCUAAGCCUUUAGGGGGGAGGGAAGGAGGGGGGCGGGAGGAACUGGGGUUCUCGGGAGCACGAGCUGCAGCACCACUUCCGGUAAACGCCGCCCCUCCCGCACUCUGGCUCUGGAGCUGCCGCAGCCGUCGCCGCCGGAAAGUUCUGGAGCCCUGGAAAGGAGAAGGAAUAAAACGGCAGGAGGAAGAGAGAGAGAGGGUAAGAAAUGUUGGGUCAGUGGUUUUUCUUUGGGGGGAAGAGGUGUUAUAGUCACAUGGGUUUGUUUUUGACAAUGUGGCAGAAUUCUUCAAGUAAUAGGAUUUAUAGUAGUGGUGUUUGCCUUUCUCCCACCUGUUAUCUCUUGAGGAUACCAGGAAGUACUUGUGUAAAAAGUUGGUGCUGUACCUCUAUCACCUUCCUUCCCCAUCAGGACUCACGUAGAAUGAAAUGUGAAAUGCUUAGGUGAAAUCA